GACGAACGCUGGCGGCGUGCUUAACACAUGCAAGUCGAACGGAAAGGCCCUGCUUUUGUGGGGUGCUCGAGUGGCGAACGGGUGAGUAACACGUGAGUAACCUGCCCUUGACUUUGGGAUAACUUCAGGAAACUGGGGCUAAUACCGGAUAGGAGCUCCUGCUGCAUGGUGGGGGUUGGAAAGUUUCGGCGGUUGGGGAUGGACUCGCGGCUUAUCAGCUGGUUGGUGGGGUAGUGGCUUACCAAGGCUUUGACGGGUAGCCGGCCUGAGAGGGUGACCGGCCACAUUGGGACUGAGAGACGGCCCAGACUCCUACGGGAGGCAGCAGUGGGGAAUAUUGCACAAUGGGCGGAAGCCUGAUGCAGCAACGCCGCGUGCGGGAUGACGGCCUUCGGGUUGUAAACCGCUUUCGCCUGUGACGAAGCGUGAGUGACGGUAAUGGGUAAAGAAGCACCGGCUAACUACGUG
rnacentral:rRNA from 1 species